UACGUGAGGGGCGAACGUUGUUCGGUGUCACUGGGCUUAAAGGGCGCGUAGGUGGUUGCGUAAGUAACGUGUGAAAUCCCUCGGCUUACCCCGGGAAUUGCGCGUUAUACUGCGUGACUUGAGGAUCUCAGGGGAAUGGGGAACUCCAGGUGUAGCGGUGAAAUGCGCAGAUAUCUGGGGGAAGGCCGGCGGCGAAGGCGCCAUUCUGGGAGAUUCCUGACACUGAGGCGCGAAAGCGUGGGGAGCAAACAGG
rnacentral:rRNA from 1 species